AACUGCUAAGGUUCAGGAGGGAGUCUAUUUCCUGCUUUAGAAGGCAUUUAUGAAAGGAAUCCCUGAAGGGGAAAGGGAAGGGGAGUUAGAUGGAGGGAGGGAAGCAAAGUGGAUGGAGUAUCCUGCUGAUACGAUCUCCUAAACCCUAUGUCCAUAGUGAUAUGCUCCCAAGCUUGUCAGAAGUGAGAAAUGUCUUCCUUGCUUUGGGAACUGGCUGUGAACCAUUGCAGCUGGCAUGUAAAUUCCCACAGACUGCAAAGUGGCCCUGGAGUCUUUUAAUAUAUGCAGAAACUCGUCUGUAUUUUCUGCAAACAACGUUAAGCCAUCAAAGGGAAGGUCAUCAACUGUAUUUUGAACCUCCCUCAGAAAUCCUGACAUCUGAAGCCAGGAGGCCCUUCUCAUGACUACAGCCAUAGAAAUAGAGCAAGCAGCUGUGUCAGGGGCAUCCAGAGAGGACUGCAGAGAUGUUCUGGUUUCUCUCUAUAUGUCCCUGACUGAGCUAAAUAUUGUGAGCCAGAUUUUCUCCUGACUACAUCCUGCUCUGAGGGGCUAUGUGUCAGCUGAGAAUGAGAAGAAUGGAGCUUUGUCCUCACUACAACAAACCAGCCAUGCAGCAAAAGCCUCACCCAAAUGAUUACA